rnacentral:rRNA from 1 species
GAUGACGGCCUUCGGGUUGUAACUCCUUUCGCUAGGGACGAAGCCUUUUAGGUGACGGUACCUGAGAAGAAGCACCGGCUAACUACGUGCCAGCAGCCGCGGUAAUACGUAGGGUGCGAGCGUGUCCGGAAUUACUGGGCGUAAAGAGCUCGUAGGUGGUUUGUCGCGUCGUCUGUGAAAUCCCGGGGCUUAACUUCGGGCGUGCAGGCGAUACGGGCAUAACUUGAGUGCUGUAGGGGAGACUGGAAUUCCUGGUGUAGCGGUGAAAUGCGCAGAUAUCAGGAGGAACACCAAUGGCGAAGGCAGGUCUCUGGGCAGUAACUGACGCUGAGGAGCGAAAGCAUGGGUAGCGAACAGGAUUAGAUACCCUGGUAGUCCAUGCCGUAAACGGUGGGCGCUAGGUGUAGGGGUCUUCCACGACUUCUGUGCCGCAGCUAACGCAUUAAGCGCCCCGCCUGGGGAGUACGGCCGCAAGGCUAAAACUCAAAGGAAUUGACGGGGGCCCGCACAAGCGGCGGAGCAUGUGGAUUAAUUCGAUGCAACGCGAAGAACCUUACCUGGGCUUGACAUGGACCGGAUCGGCGUAGAGAUACGUUUUCCCUUGUGGUCGGUUCACAGGUGGUGCAUGGUUGUCGUCAGCUCGUGUCGUGAGAUGUUGGGUUAAGUCCCGCAACGAGCGCAACCCUUGUCUUAUGUUGCCAGCACAUUGUGGUGGGUACUCAUGAGAGACUGCCGGGGUUAACUCGGAGGAAGGUGGGGAUGACGUCAAAUCAUCAUGCCCCUUAUGUCCAGGGCUUCACACAUGCUACAAUGGUCGGUACAAAGGGUUGCUACACAGCGAUGUGAUGCUAAUCUCAAAAAGCCGAUCGUAGUCCGGAUCGCAGUCUGCAACUCGACUGCGUGAAGUCGGAAUCGCUAGUAAUCGCGGAUCAGAAUGCCGCGGUGAAUACGUUCCCGGGCCUUGUACACACCGCCCGUCACACCAUGGGAGUUUGUUGCACCAGAAGUAGGUAGUCUAACCGCAAGGAGGGCGCUUACCACGGUGUGGCCGAUGACUGGGGUGAAGUCGUAACAAGGUAGCCGUAAGAGUCGUAUUACAAUCACGGCCG